rnacentral:sRNA from 1 species
UUGUGUUAGGGAUGGCAGCGGCAUCCUUUUUGCUUUUUUCAAGCAAAAAGAUAUAGCGUACAGCCCGACCGCGC